AGUGGUGUGUUCUGGACCCGAAGCGGAGUGAUCUACCCAUGGCCAGGGUGAAGCGCGGGUAAGACCGCGUGGAGGCCCGAACCCACUUAGGUUGAAGACUGAGGGGAUGAGUUGUGGGUAGGGGUGAAAGGCCAAUCAAACUCCGUGAUAGCUGGUUCUCCCCGAAAUGCAUUUAGGUGCAGCGUCGCAGUGUUCGUGUUGGAGGUAGAGCUACUGGAUGGCCGAUGGGCCUCACAAGGUUACUGACGUCAGCCAAACUCCGAAUGCCGACACGGUGUAAUGCGGCAGUGAGACGGCGGGGGAUAAGCUCCGUGCGUCGAGAGGGAAACAGCCCAGAUCGCCGGCUAAGGCCCCUAAGCGUGUGCUAAGUGGAAAAGGAUGUGCAGUCGCGAAGACAACCAGGAGGUUGGCUUAGAAGCAGCCACCCUUGAAAGAGUGCGUAAUAGCUCACUGGUCAAGUGAUUGUGCGCCGAUAAUGUAGCGGGGCUCAAGCACACCGCCGAAGCCGCGGCAGCGUAUUUAUACGCUGGGUAGGGGAGCGUCCUGCACUCCGGUGAAGCAGCCUGGUAAUGGAGCUGUGGAGGGUGUGGGAGUGAGAAUGCAGGCAUGAGUAGCGAUAAGGCAAGUGAGAACCUUGCCCGCCGAAAGACCAAGGGUUCCUGGGCCAGGCCAGUCCGCCCAGGGUGAGUCGGGACCUAAGGCGAGGCCGACAGGCGUAGUCGAUGGACAACGGGUUGAUAUUCCCGUACCCGUGUGUGAGCGUCCCUGAUGAAUCACCGGUACUAACCGCCCAAAACCAGAAUCACUGAUCCCUUCGGGGUGAUGGUUUCUGGGGCUGCGCGGGACCUUCGGUGGUAGUAGUCAAGCGAUGGGGUGACGCAGGAAGGUAGCCGUACCGGUCAGUGGUAAUACCGGGGUAAACCUGUAGGGAGAACGAUAGGCAAAUCCGUCGUUCAUGAAUCCUGAGAGGUGAUGCAUAGCCGAGUGAGGCGAAUUCGGUGAUCCUAUGCUGUCGAGAAAAGCCUCUAGCGAGCGCACACACGGCCCGUACCCCAAACCAACACAGGUGGUCAGGUAGAGAAUACCGAGGCGUACGAGUGAACUAUGGUUAAGGAACUCGGCAAAAUGCCCCCGUAACUUCGGGAGAAGGGGGACCCCCACACCGUCAACCGGCUUGCCCGGGGCAGCGGGAGGGGGUGGCACAAACCAGUGAGAAGCGACUGUUUACUAAAAACACAGGUCCGUGCGAAGUCGCAAGACGAUGUAUACGGACUGACGCCUGCCCGGUGCUGGAAGGUUAAGAGGACCCGUUAACCCUUUGGGGUGAAGCGGAGAAUUUAAGCCCCAGUAAACGGCGGUGGUAACUAUAACCAUCCUAAGGUAGCGAAAUUCCUUGUCGGGUAAGUUCCGACCUGCACGAAUGGCGUAACGACUUCUCAACUGUCUCAACCAUAGACUCGGCGAAAUUGCAUUACGAGUAAAGAUGCUCGUUACGCGCGGCAGGACGAAAAGACCCCGGGACCUUCACUACAACUUGGUAUUGGUGCUCGAUACGGUUUGUGUAGGAUAGGUGGGAGACUGUGAAGCAGUCACGCCAGUGAUUGUGGAGUCAUUGUUGAAAUACCACUCUGAUCGUAUUGGGCCUCUAACCUCGAACCGUCUAUCCGGUUCAGGGACAGUGCCUGGUGGGUAGUUUAACUGGGGCGGUUGCCUCCUAAA
rnacentral:rRNA from 1 species